rnacentral:tRNA from 1 species
GUCCCCUUCGUCUAGCGGUUAGGACGUCGCCCUCUCACGGCGGCAACAGGGAUUCGAAUUCCCUAGGGGACGCCA